rnacentral:rRNA from 1 species
AUUGAACGCUGGCGGCAGGCCUAACACAUGCAAGUCGAGCGGCAGCACUUCGGGUGGCGAGCGGCGGACGGGUGAGUAACACGUAGGAAUCUACCUAGUAGUGGGGGAUAGCCCGGGGAAACUCGGAUUAAUACCGCAUACGCUCUACGGAGGAAAGGGGGCUUCGGCUCUCGCUAUUAGAUGAGCCUGCGUCGGAUUAGCUAGUUGGUGAGGUAAAGGCUCACCAAGGCGACGAUCCGUAACUGGUCUGAGAGGAUGAUCAGUCACACUGGAACUGAGGCACGGUCCAGACUCCUACGGGAGGCAGCAGUGGGGAAUAUUGGACAAUGGGGGAAACCCGUGAUCCAGCCAUACCGCGUGUGUGAAGAAGGCCUCGG